AGGGCGCUUGGAGAUGCCGAGGGCAGGCCCCAUCAGAGCACCAACGGGAGACUGAGGUCAUGAAAGUCUAGGGAUAUCUAGGUGCCCGGACUCAGCGCUUUCGGAUUUUCCCACCUCGGUGAAGAGCUGAGACUCGCGGGUAAAAGGAAGAGCUCGCCUCACUCUCCUGUCCUGAGAGGACGGAGAUUCCCAGACCCGAAAGGGAAGGUGACUUGCUACCAUCCCACCGCGACUUCACUACUUGCGCCUCUGUUAGGACUGCGCUUCCAGCUGCGUGUCAAAGGUAGGACUCCGUGCUAGCCUGGGACUUAGCACCGCGCGGCCGCGCCGAUCCGGAUGCACCCUGUGGCCUUUAUCGAACUGGUCCCUUCCUCCUCGCAGGACCUCAGGGCAUGUGCGGAUCUACAGGACGCAGCUUCCCCGUGGGGGCUGUGGGUACGAGGCCGAGCGGAGGAGAGUGCCUCAGGAGCUCCGGAGAUCCCAGAGUCUGAAGAAUGAAGGGGGCGGGAUGCAUGGCCAACCCGCGAUCGUUUUCUUCGUGUUUUAUUUUGGGUCGAAACAAAGAAGAGAAGCUGUUAGGGAAAAAUUCAAGCCUGUCCAAGAUGGGCCGAGAUGAGACGCCCCUCGUCGAAUAGGUAGCGGGUUAAGUAAAACAUUCUGUGUGGCCUAGCUGGGAUUUUGAGCCUCAGAGGCCCCGGGCCAGCAUGGACUCUUUCCGCUCUCGCUCUCCGAGCGUCGUGGGGACCUCCCCGCGCUUGGUCUGAAAGUAACGUAGCUUGGAGUGCUUGGUCGCCGCUUGUUUACUUAAAACUGCGAAAAGGAUCAUCUUCAGCCCCAGGACGGACAGUGGAAAAGAGAGAGAAAAAGGAGCCCAGAAAAAAAGGAGCCCCUUGCCUCCCAUCUUCGGGUUUGCUUGGACCCGGCCGUCAGCCCCCGGGUUAACCCUGUUGAAGCACCUCGAGUUUCAACCCCCUCCCAACCUCUGCCCCGAAUCCUCUGUUCGCGCUGCCCACGCGGGUCCAGAGCGCUCAAGUCCCAAAGCGCAGGAGUCGGGCUGGACGCUUGCUUGGUCGGAGAGCUUGGUCAGAUGCCGAGAAGCAGAAAACUGCCCCAGAGCGCACGGACGUGUCAGACCGCGCACUGGGAGUGGUGGCAGGUGCAAGGCGGAGCCCCCGCUGCCCCCAGGUUAGCUCCCCACGCUUUCCCCUGCGUUAGGUGAGCUUUCCGACCACGGAGGAGCACAGGACAUCAAACGCAUUGACUUACUUUGAGGGAGGGAAGAGUUGGAUAUGGCCGUGGACCCUGUUGGGACAACCCGGGGCCUGGGGAGGAGGUGGCGCCGAGAGAGAGGAACUCUACCUUUUUCAGCCUUUGCCAGGUGCACACGGAUUAGAUUCUGGAACCCUCGUCGUAGGAUCUGCUCUCAGGGAAUGUCUGGCCUCCGGGUUUGUACGGAAGGGCUCUGGGACUCCCGGAAGCCCAAAUGUGUACGGAAGAUUGUAGAUGUGCUUUUUGGGAAGCCCGUCGUCUCAGGUUUGCAAUACAACAUCUAAAGAGCCAAUGAUGACUCCUCCGCCUUAAAAAGGGAGUUGCUCUAGACUGGAUUCUACUUCAACCAUCAGAUACAAAGGAAGAGGCUCGCUGGGCAGCUUAGUUUCAGGCUUGCGCUAGGAGAAGCCAAAGGAUUGAGGCGUUGGUAGGUGUCCUGAGGACCCCAACCCCGCUGGUUGCCUGACUUGGCGCCCACAGUAUGAGGCAGGCGUGGCACUGUGAGGCUCUGCUUUGUGCCUAGCUUUUCAGUCCCUCCACCCCACCCCCGUCUUUGUCUCUGUCGCUCUCCUGGGGAGUGUGUGUCUGUCUCAGACUUACCAUUAUCAGUUAGCCUUUGUUAGGAUUAUGCCUACAGGUGUCCUCCCUUUCGGGGUGUCUACCCAGUCACUCCUGAAGGGAGACUGCAGGGGCUGGCCAGUACAUUCCAGACAGUUCCCUUUGCCCACAUCAGUCUCUUCUCUCCUGGAGGAUGGUGCAGAGUGGCAAGGCCAGGAGAGACAGACCUCCACCUAGGAGGACUCUGGGUGUGCUGGAAGUCAUGAUCCUUGGCCUUGCAGCCCAAGUGCUUGUCCCUCACUCUGCUCCUUGAGCUCUGCAUAAGCUGCCAGGGAAGGAGAGGGACCAGGGUUAUAGGUGUUAUAGGGUACCAGCUUUCUCAACAUGUCCAAGGUUUCAGACAACUCUCUCAGGGCACUCUAGCGUCCUGUCUGUGUGCAAACUCAGGUCACUUGGCUGUCCAGAAGCCCUCAUCAUCCCAGUGGCAAGAGCAAGCACACUUUCUGGGACAUGGCAUUCAGGGCCUUCCCUACACAAUUCCAUCCCUUUCCACCUCCUCUCCCCCUUGGUCUUCCUUUUUGCCAGUGUUUGAGAACACCACUCUCAACCAGCUCCCAGAGAACUGCAGACACUCACAAUUGAAUAAUCCCCUAACAGAACAUGUGACAAAAGCUAAAAUACAACCAAGCUGGGGCAAGCCCUAAGAGGGAGUGUUUGACCCAUUAUGGUAUCAGGGAGGACUCCCGGUAAGAGGAGAUAUUUGAGCUGAGGAGGGGAAAGUCUGGGCUUUUGCAGGCUCAGGUUGGGAAAUGUGGCUUCAUGUCGUUUGCCACCCAGAUCAUCAGCACAGGACACAAUGCAGCUCUCCUGUGACAGCCUGUUACUCAGAGUCACCUGGUUUUGGGUUAGUGUCUGUCUCUGCCUCUUUCUAACUGUGCAACCUUGGGCCAGCCAUUGUUCUGCUCUGAGCCUUAUAUUUUCAAUCUAUAAACUAGGGAUGAUAGUAAUGCCAUAAAGGAGUUGUGAAGGCUAAUAAUAUUAACUUGCACACACAUAACUCUUAUAUAUACUGUUUUAAUCACUUUAUUUUUUUAUUUGUUCUAAUUAGUUAUACAUGAUAGAAGAAUGCAAUUCAAUUCAUUAUACACAAGUGGAGCACAGCUUUUCAUUUCUCUGUACACAAUUGUUUUAAUCACUUUAGACAUUAAAUACAAUAAUGUAUCAGGAGACCUGGGCUCGGGAAGAUCAUUAGCUGGGCAUUAGGGAUUCAUCCAGGAGAACCCACAGAGAACUGGAUCUGGAAGCCAUGGUGACUGGAAAGAUAGGCCAUCCAGGCAAAGGAGCAAAAAAGCCCAGAGGCAGAAGUCUCUUGGAUAAUGGAAGAGCAGGAGGGAAAUUCAGAUCAGAAUAGCACCUUCUGCCCUAGAUUCAGCUGUGAAGGACCCUGGGAUGUUCCUGGGUCCUAGAGAUAAAUAGUUGUCUUGGAAGAACAUUUUGGAGAACUUGCCUUGCUGGGUAGGAGUGCAGGGUCUUUUAGGGGCAGCUGCUAUCCCUGGUAUUCUGGAAACUUAGGGACUUGGAUCUGUAUGCAGCCCUGGCCUCUGCCUGGGCAGAUCAGGCCCAACCUUUUGGCAGGAGGGUGGGGAAAGCUUCAGCGCUGGGCUUGAUCCCAGCUUUGGUGAGUUCAGACACAGAGUCUUCAGUCCUGAAGCCAUGCACAUGUUCACUGUGUUUACUGGCCGGUGGGGGAGGACCCCAGGCACUAUGGGUCUAGUUAGGGAAAGUGGUCUUGGACAUAAUCCAGUAGUGAAAAAAGGUGAGAAAUUGCCGUUGGGUCCCUUUAGGAGGCCUCAACCUAGAUGGAUAUUGUGUGUGGCUCCCUGCAUUCCCUGAGCCCUGGCCAGGCCAAACUGUCCCCAGUGGGACACUGAACAGCUGGAACUUGGCUCUGGGUCAGUGGAUUGACAUUGUAGGAAAGACUUCAAUUUAUGCAAUGGUUCUGGGGAUGGAGAAGAAUGACAGGAAGGGGAGGAAAGGUCUCUCUGGAAAUGGCCAGGAAGUGGAGUUGACAAAGCUUAGGAGAUGCCACCAGUUAGCUACUGUGUAGAGGUCAGUGUCUCAGGCGGCUGAACUGUCCUCUAUAAGCCUGUCUUACACAAAGCUGGAGCCUAGUAAUUAACUAUCGAAGGAGUCACACCAUUGCCCUCCGAAAGCCUCAGCAGGCUUCUGUCGCUUCCACUUUUAAAGCUGUCACUAUCACAGAUUUCCUACUAUAUUCCUAUAUCUGGUUUGUGGCUGCACUUCACUGCCUGGCAUUUGCUGGCCAGAGACAAUUGACAUCUGCUUUACCCAGUGAGUAAGCAAGACCCUUCAAGUUCAGGUAAGCAGCUCUAACUCUUUUUUCAGAUUCACUUUGUCCACUCACCUCCUAGUACUUCUUCCUUGGCACCAGGGUUUCUCAAAUUUGUCAUUUAUGGUAUUGAAACAACCUAACAGAUGAACAGAAGUGGAAGAUUUCUACCAAGAAGAGAAAAGGGAGUGUCCUUCGUACCACACCCUGGACAUGCUUAGUGUUUUAUCAAUGACUUAGAAGAAGACUCAGAAGGGAAGCUGAUUGGCCUGUGACUGACCAGGAUGAGAUGCUGAUGCUGUAGCUGUCAGACCCAAGGCUUGCAUUAAUCCGUGGGCUGGGAGACUGAGCCAAAACCAACAAGAAGACAUUUAAAAAAACUGUUAUGAAAACAUUGUAACUUUACAGGAGACAAACCAAGAAAAAAAGAGUCCCCCCCAUGCCAAUUACCUGUCAUUCAUCUACUAGGUUUUCUGUUCUGUGUUUUUUCUUUUGUGUUCUUAUACAUAUACAGAAUUUGUAUGUUUACAUAGGUGGAACCAUAAUGUAUGCACAAUUCUGUGGUCUUUGUACACAGUGCAUUUGCAUUAUUUUGUAAACAGAGCUACAUGUUGCUUCUCACUCCCCCCCCCCCCCGCCCGUCUGUAAUUGUGAAUGAAAUUGUCUAGUGUUGAUCUAACCCUUUCAUGGUAUCUGAGCAAUUAGGUAAUUUCCAGUAUCUUUGAUAUAGGUGAUGCUGCCAGGGAUAUGUUUGUAUAAAGAACUUUUAAUUUCUUUUGAAGUAUUCUUAAGACAAAUGUCUAAGAGUAAGAUUUAUGGGACAUAAGCAUUUUUAUACUUCUUAAUAUAGUGCUAUGAAAUUAUCUCUAAAAGGAAAUUAUUUCUUGCAGCUCACCAUAGUCAAGAUACUUAACAUUAUCUGUCAUAUCUAAAAGUUUCCUUACACCCCUUUGUGAUAAAAUCAUUCCCCUUCAUUAUCUGUAAGCAAUCAUUGAUCUAUUCAAUGUCACUGUAGAUGACUUUGCAUUUAAUAAAAUUUUA